rnacentral:ribozyme from 13 species
AAAACAAAAACAAAGUCAAAUCAAGAGUCAAAAAUGAAAAAGAAAAGGGGGAGGAGAAAAAAGAGCUGUCGCACCCCAAAAUUUUCUCCUCUUUUUUUUUUUUUCUUUUCCCUCUUUCU